UUUUCAUGUUAUUUUCAUGCGACAAUUUGAGAGUUAUUCAAGUUUUCAAGUUAUUUUCAUGCGACAAUUUGAGAGUUUAUGGAUAAGAGGGAAUUUAGUUUUAAGAGCAUUUUAAAACGUUUUGCGGAGCGUUGUGGUUGAAUUUUAGAAUUGAAAAUCCUGCACUUAUAUUACGCAAAAUAGCAUACCUAACAUAGAUUUUUAGGAAAUUGAUAAUUUUGUAAUUAAAAGUGACAGUUUUAGAGUUUUUUAAUUUUCAAAAAAUUCUUAAGAAAAUUGUCGUGUUACCUAUGACAACUGCCUCAAAUACUUCAUGUUCGGAAAAUAUACUGACUUUGCCGACAAGGCGAGGGAUUUCUGCAUGCGCGUAUUCCUAGUAGGUUUGAUGACCCCUUAUUUUUGAGAACCAUGCCGCAUCAUUUGGUUCUACUAGAUCAAUUAAUUUCAUGCAGUGUCAGUAU